AGGUCAUUAAACUCUACUACAUCACAUCCAGAAAGGUCAUUAAACUUUACUACACAUCCAGCAAGGUCAUUA